rnacentral:rRNA from 1 species
GUGGGGAAUAUUGGACAAUGGGCGAAAGCCUGAUCCAGCCAUGCCGCGUGUGUGAAGAAGGUCUUCGGAUUGUAAAGCACUUUAAGUUGGGAGGAAGGGCAGUAAGUUAAUACCUUGCUGUUUUGACGUUACCGACAGAAUAAGCACCGGCUAACUUCGUGCCAGCAGCCGCGGUAAUACGAAGGGUGCAAGCGUUAAUCGGAAUUACUGGGCGUAAAGCGCGCGUAGGUGGUUUUGUAAGUUGGAGGUGAAAUCCCCGGGCUCAACCUGGGAACUGCCUCCAAAACUGCAUGACUAGAGUACGGUAGAGGGUAGUGGAAUUUCCUGUGUAGCGGUGAAAUGCGUAGAUAUAGGAAGGAACACCAGUGGCGAAGGCGACUACCUGGACAGUAACUGACGCUGAGACGCGAAAGCGUGGGGAGCAAACAGGAUUAGAAACCCUUGUAGUCC